GGCGGUUAAUUUCGUUUAUGGCGAAUGAUGAAGUUCUGACACGCUACAGCUUGGUGCUUUAUUUUGAAGACCACCGUUUUCUUCUUCUUCUACUUCCUGUGCUGCCGACGUUAGACAUUACGCUCCUGUCUUGUCGCAACGACAUGUUCACGUCACGCACGAGCUGGACUGUCCCUGUGAGAUGUGUGUGGAAGAUAGGCUGCUAGCAAACGGAGCUCAAACUUAGCGCCCUUGGAAGCAGAAGGAGUUUUCACGGUGUCAAAUGUCAGUCAGUCAAAAGGGGAGGAGAGAAAUUAAAGCUGCACCAGUCGAAGCUCUCUGCAUCUUGCUUUAUUAUUCCAAGCGGGUCGCUACAGUGAAAACUCCUUUCCGGCUACGAGAGACCUGCCAUCCCUGCAGAGAAGCUG